AACCAUCGUGGUUAGUGUACUUAAUUUUCCGGAUCCAACUUCCUUUUCUUCUAGAACCAAACUUUAAGAAAAAAAUACUUUACGUUUUAAUAUAAGCAGCUAAAAAAUUAAUCUCUCAGUUAACCACUCUUCGUGAUAUACUUUUUUAUAAGCUGCUUCAUUUAUUUAGUACAUAAAUGCACAUGUACCAUUUCCCACAGCAUGCUCUCCUUUUUUCAUCUAAAAGUAAUUAUAGCUGUCUUGAGAGAGGGUGUUUCAAAAAAAAAAAAAAAAAAAAGCUGUCUUGAGAGAAAGAACAAGCCUUAAUUUAACGUUUAAAUUUAUACAAAAAGCGGAGUUUAAAUUAACAAAGAUUUCUGUUACCAUCUUUUGGCCAGUUUGUAGAUGGAUUUUUAGUUUUCAUUAAAUGUAUACAUAGGUCACGCUUGUUUGAUGAACCUGACGUUGACUUCUAGCGUUGUCAUCACAGAAAUAUCUUUCCGUUAAAGUUCUGUAAGUGUUUGAUGGUCAAUUUUUUUUUUUUACAUAAUUUUGAUGUGAUCUCAAAAGCUUUUUAAACCUAAGAGCAUUUUUAUAAAGGAUUUUUAGGGAAGGUUUUUAACAAAAAGUCGGUGUGGAUCUUGGAACCACUGACACGUGGCGGUCCACAAUUGGUUCGAUUUUAUUUUUUUUUUGUUUUUUUAAAUCAUAAAAAAAAAUAAUAAUAAUAAUAACUCCAAAUGAGAUUUUAG
rnacentral:lncRNA from 1 species